CCCUUUCACCCAGGACCGCGCCCCUACGCAAGAGCGCCGUUUCCCUGGUGACGUGACGUGUCCGAAGGAGUGGGUAGCGCUUUCUGGGAGAGUGACGUGCGGCCGCCAUUUUGAGAGCUUUGGCUUGUGGGUGGUCUGACUGCUGCACUGGAGUGUAGUGUGACUCCAACCGCUCGCGAUCUCGCAAUUUCCAUUAACCACAUCCUCACUUUGGCCAUCACCACCCAGCACACCGACGGUCCUGGGUGCCUACCCCUACCAGUGGCAGCCUCAACACUAACAUAGAAUUGAAGAGCAGUUUCCUAAAGGCAUAUGAAGAAACAAGACUGCAUUGUACUCAUCAAUAGUGUAAUGGCACUUCUCCCUUCCAAAGGAUCUUAACAAGAUAACUAAAUGACAUAAAGGAGACUGAAAGGUGCAGAGAAGAAGGCAGACCAGCUAGGGAGGAACAACCCUGUGAUGAGUUCUCUUUUGAAUGUGUUGAGUUUGCCUUACCAGUUGGACAUCCAGAUAGCAUCUACAGGACUAGAGUAAAGAAGAAAGACUGUAACUUUGAUAUGCAACCAGAGUUUGUUUCUACAUGAUUCUGGACAACUGUGUAUAUGCUUUGCUCAGUCAGAUCUAUGUGGAUUAAAUCUUGAAUGAGGGAUUUCUGAGUAGAAAGAUUUUAUUUUUAGGUAAUCUCUGUACCCAAGGUGGGCUUGAAUUCACAACCUCAAGAUCAGGAGUUGCAUGCUCCCCUGAGCCAGCCAGGCACCCCUAGAUGUUAUAAUCGUCACAUAACCAAUAGUGAGUGACUAAGUAAACCAAUUUAAACCAAUUUACUACUAAGCAAUACUGGGCAUUAUUUAGAUCUGAUAUGAUUACUAUAAAGUAAAAUAUG